GACACAAGUCAUCUUCCUCGUACAGUCUUUGUAACGCCACCGUUGCCGUUGCCGCCGGAGAAAAUGAUUCAUUCUUCGAUGGCUUCCAUAUUCACACCCUCACACCGCCUCAAUGUCCCCGUCACGAAUCCACCACUAUCAUCUUUCGAAUCCCACUGGAGGUCGUCGAACAAUUGAAAGAGUUGUCCCUGUCUCCGUCGCCCACGGCAGUGACAUCGUCCAAUGACCCCCAAAAUUACACCAUCUCUUCUCCUUCACGUCCCCAUUCCAUAUCUCUCGUUGUUUUCUCUCAAACAUCCGUAGAACGCCUCAAAUCUACCAAACCCUAGGCGUCGCCACCACAGUGCACGGCGGCGCCGCAACCCUAAACCCUCCAAACUCACACCCCACAGUCCCCAUGACUAACUCAACUUGAAUCCCUAACUAAAAUCCAUCGAAUCUCAGUGAAACCCAACGAAUUGCGAAUCUAGGGUUUAUAUGGUUCUGGGUUACUUUUAAAGAUUUUCAAGUCGAUUGAGAUCUAGUUAAUAUUAUAGGUCUAUUUUUGACAAAAUAGAUGUAUAAUAUUAACCGGAAGUCAAUUUCGGAUGUUUUUCUCAUAAGGUCUGAAUUUUAGUAAGUUUUCUUCUCAUUUUUUUAAGUUUUGUUUGAUUCGUGCUUUAUCUGUUUAAUUAGUUGUAGUUUUAAUUUCCAAAUCAUUCUAAUUGGUAGUUUGAUUUUAAUACACGUCUGUCCGUUAAUUGUUAGCUAAUUGUCUAGGAUAAAUUUUAGGUUAAUUUCCAUUUUUUUAGCUCUGAGUUGGUUUAGCUUAAAUGUUCAAUUGUUAGUUUAUUUGUUAAGUGCUAGUUUAAUUUCAAUUAGUUCCAAUUAUUACUCUAGCUGAAUUUCCUUUUGGUUUACCUUGAUUCAAAUGACUUUUGUGAUUCUAAUGAGUAAUUAGCUUUGCAUAUUUGAUCUUCGUUUCCUGAUUUUAAAUCUGUUUGAAUAGUGUUUGUUUGAGUGACUGAAUAAAUAUGAUUGUUAGUUUAAUUGGUUGAUUUUGAUUGUCUUUCAAAUUCAGUAUUCAUUAGUUUGAGUUUCUAUUUAUGUUAAUUAGUCUGUUAUUUUAAGCAAAAUGGUUAUAGUUGCUGGUUUAAUUAGGAUAGAAGAAGAUGCUGAAGUCAUUUGGAUUAGUUUAGGAUAAAGUAGGGAUAAUUGAGGAACGUCAGGGGUAUGGUAGACAGUUUGAGGUGCACAAAAUGUUGCGGGUUAAACUAGAAUAUUCUAGGACCUUCUAAAAUAGGACUUUAGUGCAUAAUUCAGAACUUAGGUGCACUUGUUUGAUCACCAAGCUAAGAAAUAAGGGACUAAUUGAAUAAAUAGAUAGGGGCUGACAUAGAAAACAGAAAAUAAGGAUUUCCCUCAUUUUUGCCUAUAAACGGGCAUGCCCUUUACUUUAUUCACAAGUUUGGAGCCUAAAAAAUUUCCCCCAAAGUGUGUUCUUCAAUUUUCAGAUCUAGGAUUUGAAAUUCAAACUUCAAACUCCAAAAACAAUAGAAAAUAUCCAAAAAAAUCAAAAAUAAAUAAAUAGACUGUUACAUUGAUCAUUUCUCAGGUUGUAGCUCGUAACUCAACUGUUAGUUCAUCUAGAAUCAGAAUUAGAUUAAUUUUUCUUUGUUUAUGUUCUGUGCUCAAGCUUUAAAAAGUGUUUGCAAGUAGCUUGGGGUUCAUUUUCAAGUUAUUAUUGGUGUUUCUCAGCAUUGAUUGGUUUUAUGGAAUUUUUGGGCUCAAUUUCGAGUAUAUAUGGUCUAUUCACGACAUCUAUAUUUGAUUUUCUGGUUUUAUUUUGCUGUGAACUCCUCCUAGAUUAAUGAUCUUAUUUUCUGGGCUAUUAUCUGAUCCUUGUUGUUGCUGUUGCUGGCCUCUCAUUCCUCUCAUUUUAUUUCAGAUUCAGGUACAUGUUCUAAAGCUUUCAAGUCAAUGGAAAUGAAGUAUAGGUAUUUUUUUUUAAGUUGAUCUUAAAUCAUCCUGUUGCUAUUCAAUUUUAACGUGUAAAAUAGUCAGCUUACUGGGAUUUUUAUGUCGUUUGUAUAACUAGAUUAAUGUUGGACUGUAUGACGGACUCCCUGUUAGAUUACGUCAAUUCGAAUCAGUAGCAUUUAAUAUUCAAUUUCUGUAGUUCAAAUUAUACUAUGUUGGACUGUUAAAUUUAGAUUCGAGUUUGUUUAUUAUAGAAUAACAGUCAUAGUGGUUACAAUUUUAGUUUAUAGUCUUAACACAAUUGUUAGUUGCUUAGAGCAAUAGUUCCUGGAAAUCUCUGAGCAUUAAGCGGAAUCAAAUGGUUUGUAAUUUAGAAGGAUUAGUAGGAUUAUCAUUAAAUGAAAGUUUAGUUUAGUCUAACAGAGUUGAUGUCUUAGUUGAGGCAAACAAUUGGGACAAAACUAGAACAAGCUGGAAAUUAGUUAACCUGUGACAUAUUGACCGUCUUAACUCCUUCACUUAUUAACAUCAUGGUUUAAUUCAUAUGGAAUGAUCUUUAGAUUUUCAUUGCUUUGGGUGUAUUAACUUAAAUUGGAAUCCUUUUGGAAAAUUUAACGUUCAGUUGGCUAUACGAACUGAGGACCCUAAGCGUGUUUGGGCUAUAAAUUUUGGCACAAAUCAAAACUUAAAUUUGACUGUAGCCAUACAGAUUUGACAUGAGAUCUUGUGAGGGGUUUGGCUCGUUCAAGCCUUCUACAUGUGGGCUUCCGUUUGGUCCUAGGCCAAGGUCAACAAUUGGCCAAUUUUGUGGUACAAGUCUGGAUGUAAUUUCCCUUCGUUGGGCUUAUCUUAGAACCCAAUAGCCAGACCGUGGUGCGGAAAUAUAAUUUGGUCCCGUAAUGAAUUAAGUAGGACUUUUUCUUUAUUUUUAGAGACAAAUAAAAAUAGAAAAUCAUAGUUUACUUACGUUGGACCUUUAAAUAAAAUAUGAGAUGAGCCUCGUCAAAUGUAAUGCAAAAUUGUGGGGGCCUCAAUAAAUCGGUAUAUUAAAAUAACAUAAAAUUUGG
rnacentral:lncRNA from 1 species